UGGCAACCAUGAAGGGACUAUCGCCAAGCAGAUCGAGGCUAUCAAGCUACAGAUGAUCUUACAAAUGGAACCCCAAAUGAGCUCAACUAACAACUACCAAGGACCCCUGGACCAACCCGCUGGCCCUUUCAAUGGCCUAAAGAGUUCCCCUCUGGAGGACACUACAACUGCAGGGUCCUUUCUUUGCCCCUAUCCAGCAGGAAGUAGCUAGAGUGGUCAUCACCCAAUUCCCAACAGCAGUUGGGGUGUCUUGUUAAGUGGGGAGAUUGAGAGGUGAAGCCAGCUGGGCUUCUGGGUUGGGUGGGGACUUGGAGAACUUUUCUGUCUAGCUAGAGGAUUGUAAACACACCAAUCAGUGCUAUGUGUCUAGCUAGAGGUUUGUAAAUGCACCAAUCAGCACUCUGUAAAAACGGACCAAUCAGCACUCUGUAAAAUGGACCAAUCAGUAGGAUGCGGGCAGGGCCAAAUAAGGGAAUAAAAGCUGGCCACCUGAGUCAGCAGUGGCAACCCACUCGGGUCCCCUUCCAUGCUGUGGAAGCUUUGUUCUUUCACUCUUCACAAUAAAUCUUGCUGCUGCUCACUCUUUGGGUCCACACCACCUUUAUGAGCUGCAACACUCACUGCGAAGGUCUUCAGCUUCACUCCUGAAGUCAGCGAGACCACGAACCCAUGGGGAGGAACAAUCGACUUCAGACAUGCCACCUUUAAGAGCUGUAACACUCACUGCGAAGGUCUGUGGCUUCACUCCUGAAGUCAGCAAGACCACGAACCCACUGGAAGGAAGAAAUUUCGGACACAUCUGAACAUCUGAAUGAACAAACUCUGGACACGCCAUCUUUAAGAACUGUAACACUCACUGUGAGGGUUCAUGGGUUCAUUCUUGAAGUCAGCAAGACCAAGAACCCACCAGAAGGAACCAAUUCCGGACACAGACUCACUGCAACCUCCACCUCCUGGAUUCAAGUGAUUCUCCUGCCUCAGCCUCCGGAGUAGCUGUGCCUACAGGCACAAGCCACCACACACGGCUAAUUUUUUGUAUUUUUAGUAGAGAUGGGGUUUCACCAUGUUGCUCAGGCUGGUCUCCAACUCCUGAGCUCAAGUGAUCCACCUGUCUCGGCCUCCCAAAGUGUUGGGAUACAUGUGUGAGCCACUGUGCCCGGCCUCCUCUGGAUUAGUUCUUACAGGAAUAGAUUAGUUCUUGCUCGAGCAAGUUGUUAUAAAAGUGAGGUUGCCUCUAGUGUUUUGCAUCCUCACAUAUGUCUGCUUACCUCUUGACCUCUCUCUGUGUUAUGACCCAGCACAAAAGCCCUUACCAGAAGCCAAGCAGAUGCUGAUGCCACACCCCUUGGACUUCUCAGUCUACAGAGCCAUGAAACGAAUAAACCUCUC
rnacentral:lncRNA from 10 species